AUCACUACUUUGUUAAAAGGUUAUUUAAAACCUUUCUUUUCCCAUUUUCCAUCUCAAACGCAGCCCCAUUUUUAAGCCGAAAAUCACAGCCUUGGAAGCAAAUUUCUAGGGUUUCUUUUGCUAGCAGCCGAACCACCAUUGUUUUGGUGAUCAACAGCAUGCAGAUGGUACUCAUCUUCCUCGUUGAAGGCGUUCGACCAUGCCUAGAGAAAUUUGGUACGGGUCUGUUGGCAUGCGCACGGGGUAUGGGUCUAGGCUGGAGUGGCAUGGGGGUACAGAGGUGGUACGGAGACCGAGGAUUCUGAGGUGCAAACACGUGCUGCUAGGGCUUCAGUCUUGGUUUAGUGUUCUGGGCCUAUCGGGCCUUGUAAAUUUGGGCCAAGUUUUAAAAUUAGGUUUGGGUCUGAUAGGGUUAUUUAAUGGACUGAGGUUUAUUUAUUUAUUUAUUUAUUUAUUUAUUGUAUAUUUAGGUUUCUAGUGGGCCUGGGCAAAUUUAGCCCACUACAUAAUGCAUUCCAUCACAUAUAGAGGACGAGUUUGAAUACUUUUAAUGAAAUUUAUUACUAUGCUUUAAAUACUAAGACAA